UAAUCUUCUUCUUCCGUUUAGAAGAUUUACACUGAUUGGCUCUAUGACCAGACUUACCACAAUUCCAGCAUACAUCCUCUUUAUGAGAGGGUUUUUUCUUCCUAUACUUCUUUUUGGAAGGAAAAGGUUUAUCCUUAGAAAUGUUUUUUCUAGAUUUUCUAGAUAUUCUAGACUUAAAGGAAGACUUCUUAGAAUCUUUCUUAGAAACUUUUGAAGGGGGAGGAUCUAUAUUUCCAAACCCAAAGUCUCUACAGAAACUUCCUAAUUUAUCUAUCUUCUUGAUCUAUAAUAUCAAACAAUACUUCUUUGGAAUCAGAAGUAAUUACACUAACGGUGUUUGAAUUACACCCGCAAAAAAUACCUUCACAUGAUUCUUCACAUGAAUCAUCAUGUUCGGACUGACUUUCAUCAGUCUCGUAGGCUACAUUGAUGUUUUCUUCAUCACUGUACUCGUCUGACUCUGUACCACUGGAGUCAGAAUCGCUUUCCUGAAGGAUAGAAAAGAUUUUUUCUUUAAUAUCCUCAUCUAAACCUAAAAGGUUAAUCUUCUUAUUCCGUUUAGAAGAUUUACACUGAUUUGCUCUAUGACCAGACUUACCACAAUUCCAGCAUACAUCCUCUUUAUGAGAGGGUUUUUUCUUCCUAUAUUUCUUUUUGGAAGGAAAAGGUUUAUCCUUAGAAAUGUUUUUUCUAGAUUUUCUAGAUAUUCUAGACUUAAAGGAAGACUUCUUAGAAUCUUUCUUAGAAACCUGUGAAGGGGGAGGAUCUAUAUUUCCAAACCCAAAGUCUCUACAGAAACUCCCUAAUUCGGCUCUAGAGGUCAGCCUAUCCUUCUUAAGAUGACUCUUAAGUUUUAGGUCAGUGCAUAGUUCUAAGGUUGUGGUGUUAAUAAGACUAAUAAUGUCUCCAUACGUCAUAAGGUCAUAGGGUAUCUUACCACCGCACCUAUCCCUUAUCUUAGACCUAACCUUUUCGGCGAAUAGAGGAGGAAGACCGCUAAUAAACCUAUCUUUCCAGAAGUCGCUAUUGCAGUCGGGUCUAGUCAUGAUUUUGACCAUAAAUUGGUCUUUAUACCACCUAAAAUCACUAAGUUUAGGGCAACGCAGGUUGUUCAGGAUUUCAAGACUUCUAUCCUGAAAGAGCUUUGGUUCACCAACAAAGUGUUUCGCAAUGUGGUAAAGCAAAGUCGCACAAGCAUCCUCUCUGACUUCAGACUCUGAUGAGUCCAUAUCACUACCAGAUUUAACCGUAGUUAUAAUAGUGGUAGCAUUGAGGAUGUUUAGCUUAAGUUCUUCGGUGACAUAAUUAUCCCACCAAUACCUAAGCAUUCCGGUGAAGCCAGUUGUGAUCAUUGCAGCUGCUUCUUUAUCUGAAGAAUUACGCAGCUUAUAGCUGGUAAUACAAACACCCAUUUCGUGUAGAACACGAUAGAUUUGAUGUUCAGCAAGACCAUCAAUAUUCCAUUCGACUAUGCCUCUACCAUCAUGAGAUGAUUGAGACUGGAAUCCAUCUUCCUCAUACUGAGUAUCAGGAAAAGAGGGUCGUUUGUAAUAGUUACGCCUAUUAGGAUAACGGUCAGAAAGUUUAUGGAGAGAGUUGUCAGUAAUGGUACGAACACUCUCAGAAGUGGAAGGUCUAUCUUCCUUAGUAGAUGGAGCACCCGAAGCUUUAGGGACAGCUGGAUUAUUAGCCUUUUUCUUGUCAGAGACGUGAAAGUGGGCUAAUUUUUCAGUAAUCUGUUCUACGAGUUUACCCGAGACAGAAAUGUUGUCACUGAGUUUG
rnacentral:lncRNA from 1 species